GGAAUUGUAGCUCAGUGGAAGAGCACUUGCCUAGCAUGUGUGAGGCACUGGGUUCAAUUCUCAGCACCA
rnacentral:tRNA from 1 species